AGCUCCAAUAGCGUAUAUUUAAGUUGUUGCAGUUAAAAAGCUCGUAGUUGGAUUUCGGGUGUGAAUGACCGGUCCGUCUUUGAUGUGUACUGGUUGGUUGCGCCUUAUUGUCGAGGACGUGUUUCUGGCUUUCAUUAGCUGGGACACGGAGUCGGCAGCGUUACUUUGAGAAAAUUAGAGUGUUCAAAGCAGGCUAUCGCUCUGAAUACUACAGCAUGGAAUAACACGAUAGGACUCCGAGCCUAUUCUGUUGGUCUUCGGGACCGGAGUAAUGAUUAAGAGGGACAGUUGGGGGCAUUCGUAUUCCGAUGUCAGAGGUGAAAUUCUUGGAUUAUCGGAAGACGAACAUCUGCGAAAGCAUUUGCCAAGGAUGUUU
rnacentral:rRNA from 1 species